rnacentral:rRNA from 1 species
AUUGAACGCUGGCGGCAGGCCUAACACAUGCAAGUCGAACGAGUGGCGGACGGGUGAGUAAUGUCUGGGAAACUGCCCGAUGGAGGGGGAUAACUACUGGAAACGGUAGCUAAUACCGCAUACCAUCGGAUGUGCCCAGAUGGGAUUAGCUAGUAGGUGGGGUAACGGCUCACCUAGGCGACGAUCCCUAGCUGGUCUGAGAGGAUGACCGGCCACACUGGAACUGAGACACGGUCCAGACUCCUACGGGAGGCAGCAGUGGGGAAUAUUGCACAAUGGGCGCAAGCCUGAUGCAGCAAUGCCGCGUGAAUGAAGAAGGCCUUCGGGUUGUAAAGUUCUGUCGUUGGGGAGGCGUUACUCACAGAGGAAGCACCGGCUAACUCCGUGCCAGCAGCCGCGGUAAUAC